rnacentral:rRNA from 1 species
GACGAACGCUGGCGGCGUGCCUAAUACAUGCAAGUAGAACGCUGAAGAGAGGAGCUUGCUCUUCUUGGAUGAGUUGCGAACGGGUGAGUAACGCGUAGGUAACCUGCCUUGUAGCGGGGGAUAACUAUUGGAAACGAUAGCUAAUACCGCAUAACAAUGGAUGACACAUGUCAUUUAUUUGAAAGGGGCAAUUGCUCCACUACAAGAUGGACCUGCGUUGUAUUAGCUAGUAGGUGAGGUAAUGGCUCACCUAGGCGACGAUACAUAGCCGACCUGAGAGGGUGAUCGGCCACACUGGGACUGAGACACGGCCCAGACUCCUACGGGAGGCAGCAGUAGGGAAUCUUCGGCAAUGGGGGCAACCCUGACCGAGCAACGCCGCGGGAGUGAAGAAGGGUUUCGGAUCGUAAAGUUCUGUUGUAAGUCAAGAACGGGUGUGAGAGUGGAAAGUUCACACUGUGACGGUAGCUUACCAGAAAGGGACGGCUAACUACGUG